rnacentral:rRNA from 1 species
GACGAACGCUGCGGCAUGCCUAAUACAUGCAAGUCGAGCGAACAGAUGAAGUGCUUGCAUUUCUGACGUUAGCGGCGAACGGGUGAGUAACACGUAAGGAAUCUACCUAUAAGCGGGGGAUAACAUUCGGAAACGGGUGCUAAUACCGCAUAAUAUCUUCUUCCGCAUGGAAGAAGAUUGAAAGACGGCUCUGCUGUCACUUAUAGAUGACCUUGCGGUGCAUUAGUUAGUUGGUGGGGUAACGGCCUACCAAGACGAUGAUGCAUAGCCGACCUGAGAGGGUGAUCGGCCACAUUGGGACUGAGACACGGCCCAAACUCCUACGGGAGGCAGCAGUAGGGAAUCUUCCGCAAUGGGCGAAAGCCUGACGGAGCAAUGCCGCGUGAGUGAAGAAGGCCUUCGGGUCGUAAAACUCUGUUAUAAGAGAAGAACAAAUUGUAGAGUAACUGCUACAGUCUUGACGGUAUCUUAUCAGAAAGCCACGGCUAACUACGUGCCAGCCGCCGCUGUAA